AUUUGAUGAUGGGGACAACUUGCACACAGCUUUCUUAAAUCUCUCCCAAUACUCAUACAAACUCUCUCCAUUAUACUGCUGGAUGCCACAAAUUUCUUUUCAUAUGUU